rnacentral:rRNA from 1 species
CCUANGGGGGGCUGCAGUGAGGAAUAUUGCACAAUGGAGGAAACUCUGACGCAGCGACGCCGCGUGGAGGAAGACGGCCUUCGGGUUGUAAACUCCUGUCAGAGGUGAAGAAAGCCCGCAAGGGCUUGACGGUAACCUCAGAGGAAGCCCCGGCUAACUACGUGCCAGCAGCCGCGGUAAUACGUAGGGGGCGAGCGUUGCUCGGAAUUACUGGGCGUAAAGGGUGUGCAGGCGGCCGAUUAAGUCAAAGAUGAAAUCCCGAAGCUUAACUUCGGAAUGGUCUUUGAUACUGGUCGGCUUGAGGCUGGUUGAGGAGAGCGGAAUUCCCGGUGGAGCGGUGAAAUGCGUAGAUAUCGGGAGGAACACCAGAGGCGAAGGCGGCUCUCUAAACUCGUCCUGACGCUGAGACACGAAAGCUAGGGGAGCAAACGGGAUUAGAUACCCGUNUANUC